UGCAGGGAUGGUCGAGCGGUCAAAGGCGCUAGGUUGAGGGCCUAGUGGGGUAGCCCUUCGCGGGUUCGAAUCCCGUUCCCUGCAU
rnacentral:tRNA from 1 species